rnacentral:rRNA from 1 species
AUUGAACGCUGGCGGCAUGCUUUACACAUGCAAGUCGAGCGGCAGCGCGGGGGCAACCCUGGCGGCGAGCGGCGAACGGGUGAGUAAUACAUCGGAACGUGUCCCGUAGUGGGGGAUAGCCCGGCGAAAGCCGGAUUAAUACCGCAUAUGCUCUACGGAGGAAAGUGGGGGACUCGCAAGGGCCUCACGCUAUGGGAGCGGCCGAUGUCCGAUUAGCUUGUUGGCGGGGUAAGGCCCACCAAGGCGACGAUCGGUAGCUGGUCUGAGAGGAUGAUCAGCCACACUGGGACUGAGACACGGCCCAGACUCCUACGGGAGCAGCAGUGGGGAAUUUGGACAAUGGGGAAACCCUGAUCCAGCCAUGCCGCGUGC